rnacentral:lncRNA from 1 species
GAUUUCAAUCGCUUUGAGGCCAAUUGUAGAAAAGGAAAUAUCUUCGUAUAAAAACUAGACAGAAUCAUUCUCAGAAACUACUUUGUGAUGUGUGCGUUCAACUCACAGAGUUUAAGCUUUCUUUUCAUAGAGCAGUUUGGAAACACUCUGUUUGUAAAGUCUGCAAGUGGAUAUUUGGACCUCUUUGAGGCCUUCGCUGGAAACGGGAUUUCUUCAUAUCAAACUAGACAGAAGAAUUCUGAGAAACUUCUUUGUGAUGUGUGCAUUGAACUCAC